GUCUCAAUAGCACAGUGGUUGCAGCUCCGGAUAGGUUAGUCGCGGGUUCGAUUCCCGCCUGAGAUG
rfam:Nippostrongylus brasiliensis genome assembly, scaffold: NBR_scaffold0000506